GACCUCGGAUCAGGUAGGAAUACCCGCUGAACUUAAGCAUACAAUAAGCGGAGGAAAAGAAACCAACAGGGAUUGCCCUAGUAACCGGCCGAGUGAAGCGGCA
rnacentral:rRNA from 1 species